UUGUUGGAGCUGGAGGAACAGCCUCACACUUGCAGAGGUUAAUACAUGCUACUGAUCCCUGAUGGGAGAAUCAUCACCUCUGCCAACAAAGAAGCCUGGUGGAUGUUUGUUUACAGACUGAUGAUGGGACAUCAUGCUCUGCAUCUUCAAAGUUUGUCUCUUGAUUAUUAUUCAUACACAGUAAUGUGAAGUAUGCUCAUAACUAGUAUAACUGGACCAACCUGGUGCUCUUCAUUUAUGGAGGCUGUUGAGUCUGAAUGUUGGAUGUUGUGUAUCUCGUGUUCUCUGGGCUUUGUUGUCCUCAGUCUGUUUGCAGGAUCAGAAAACAAACCCAGGAUGACCGUAAAUGUUUCUUCUCCAGUUGGAUGAUGAUAAGACUGUGACACGGGAUGCCACCUUUAGUCUUGUGAUGAAGCAAAGCUCAGGACAAAGUGUGAUUAAAUUGUACCCACAUGUGUGCUGCUGAGAAGGAUGUACAGGGGCACCUGCAGCCAAAUCCAAGCCUCCUCAGCAACUUCAGGUCUGUCAGCGUGCUGAGGUCACAGAAACAAGAAAAGAAGCUUCAGAGUGUUGUUUACAGUUUUCUGUCAUCAUGAUCUCCCCUGAAGUUUAUCACUAUUAUACAAGCAUU